UGAAAAACGGAGUUGGAAACAGCCGAGCACCGCCUCAGAAGCGCUGGCAGUCCUCUUCCAGCAGAAAAGACAAAACAGCCUGAGCUCCCGCGGAGGCCCGCCCACGCCGCCCACUUGGCCCCGCCCCCUCCCGCAGAAACAAACAGCCGCCGAUGUCCCGGGCGGGGCCGGAUGGCGACUGGCAGGGACUGGCUGGGAACCCCAAACAGCUCCAAUCACCCCCACCAGGCUUUAGAAGGCCACUACCACGAAGCCACGAUGAGCUAAAAUCACAAUUUCAAACCUAAUAGUCGCAUUAAAUCUUACCAUUUUCUACUACAAUUGUUAGAGUAAUUGACAUCCAAGGCUCUCCGUUAAUUAAUAAUUUUAAUAGACUUUAUAUUUUACAGCAGUUUUAGGUUCAUGGCAAAACUGAGAAAAUACAGAGGUUUCCCACAUACCCAUCUGCCCCACACAUGCAUAGACAGCCUUCUCCAUUAUUAAUAUCCUCCAUCACACUGGUACACUGGUUACAUAUGAUGAUGAAUCUAUACUAACACAGCAUAGUUUACAUGGUGGUAACAGGGUUCCCUAUUGGUCGUUAUUUAUGUUUUUAUUAAAUGCAUUUAAAAGGAAACCUGCUUAUGCACCACCUAGUAAGAUUACCCACCAUCCGCCCACCACAGGUGUGCGCACUGCCCCUGCUCAAGGCCAAAGACAAGCCCCAUUAACCUUAUUAGCAGUGGAGCUCGGGCCCAGCUUUAAUGAUUAACCUCUGUAUCUAAAAACAACAGAUCACGCUUGCUAACUCCUUUGAAAAAGAUACACAGUGUUCUAGGUCACAGACUAUUUUUAUUGGUUCUCUCCCUAUCUCCAAAAGCUGGGGCACACCUUUAAACCAAAGCUGCAUUCUUGGGGCACUUGUCCAGAGGUCCAGGAACUUCGGAUCCCCAAGCACACUGGAUCUCAGCAAAGCACACCUCCACGCAUUAGUGAACCGUUUCAGGAAGCCCUCAGGAGGGCAGGUGCUGAGAAGAGGCCCAAGACACAACACAGGUGAUCAGCUAGAAGGAUGAGUAGCUUCCAGCCAUUCCAGACUCUCUACAGAAGGUGGAGCUCUGAGAUGUGCGGCCACACAAGCCCUUUAGAUUUAGAGACCUAUUCACACCAGUUUUUCAGUAAUGAAAAAGACCUCUGGAGUAAGAGCAACCCCAAAAGAAAGUUACUGACUCAUGAUCAGUCUGCCGGUACCCAAGAAAGAACUAGGUACCAUAAUUAUUAAAUUACAAAAGCACAAGAUGUUCUUCAUCGGCCAGGCUUUAGAAACACAGUUCAAACCUUUCAUAAAUGUGAAAACUCCUUUUGUUGCCACAGCAAUGCUAACACCAAAUGCUUAACACCCUUUCUAAUAACUGUUCAAGAUUCCUUAAAUGUAUUAAAAAAUAAAUAUAAAUAAAUAAAAAAUCUCUCUCCAGGCAUCUCUCUUACUCAUUCCCCACCUCCAGUGAAAAAUCCCAAACAGUAACUGGUCCUUCAUGGCAGCUCUCUGGAGUACGGUUCAUGGGUGUGGCUGGAGGCUGAAAAGCCCAGUGAGGGGCUCCACCUUCUCCCAGGUCUCCCUGUGUUCAUUAGUGGCUGGAACCUUGGCACCCUCCCUCCAGCACCCAACUCAGGCACUUCUCAGAACACUGCUCCCUGGAGAAGAAUCGCCACCUUGCGGAGCGGCAAGAAAACGAAGGCCCUUUCCCACCUGUGCCAAGUCUGACGACAGAGGAAAGCCUUACAUGGCAGAACCGGGGAGAACACUGACCCUGUAGUGAGGUGGAGCCAGAUUCCGGCCCCAGUUCUGCUAUUUCAUCGCUUGGAGAAAGACCCCCACGUCACUGGCUCCCUUUGGGUUCCAGUUUUCUGGUCUGUAAGGUGGGAAGGAAAGACUUGGGGUAGACAUCUACUCUGAGGGCUUCCUUGGUGGCUCAGUCGGUAAAGAAUCUGCCUGCAGCGCAGGAGAUGAGGGUUCAAUCCCUGGGUCAGGAAGAUCCCCUGGAGAAGGAAAUGGCAACCCACUCCAGUAUUCUUGCCUGGAAAAUUCUAUGGACAGAGGAGCCUAGUGGGCUACACAGCCCAUGAGGUCACAAAAGUCGGACACGAGUUUGCAACUAAACCACCACCAGAUAUCUACUCUAAGUGUGGUAUAAUCCAAUUAGUGAGUGGCAACCAGCAGUCUGUUUUAAUCAAAUAGGAAAAAAAAAAAAAAAAGAGCAAAACCCAUUGCAUCGCAGAUAAUAAGGUAAGUCCUGUUUUGUGAUUCUUUUAUUUCAAUCAUGUUUGGUCUCUCAAUUUGAAGAUAACUGUGGCUUCACUGUACAACAUAUUUCUCACAUUGGGGCUGCAGAGAAAUGGAGCAUUUGUUCUAGGGUCCCUGAAAGAUUGCAUGCCUGUGGGAAAAUGAAGGAGCAAUUUCCCAAUGAUUAUACCAUAGAUCGGAGAAGGAAAUGGCAACCCACUCCAGUAUUCUUGCCUAGAGAAUCCUGUGGACAGAGGAGCCUGGUGGGUUGCUGUCCAUAGGGUCACACAGAGUUGGACACAACUGAAGCGACUUAGCCUGCAUGCAUGCAUUGGAGAAGGAAAUGGCAACCCACUCCAGUAUUCUUGCCUGGAGAAUCCCAGGGGCAGAGGAGCCUGGUGGGCUGCCGUCUAUGGGGUCGCACAGAGUCGGACACAACUGAAG